rnacentral:rRNA from 1 species
CGAACGGGUGAGUAACACGUGAGCAACCUGCCCUAGUACAACGGGAUAACACAGAGAAAUUUGUGCUAAUACGGUAUAAGACCACAGUAUCGCAUGAUACAGGGGUAAAAGAAUUUAUCGGUAUAGGAUGGGCUCGCGACCCAUUAGCUAGUUGGUGAGGUAACGGCCCACCAAGGCAACGAUGGGUAGCCGACCUGAGAGGGUGAUCGGCCACACUGGGACUGAGACACGGCCCAGACUCCUACGGAAGGCAGCAG